GACGAACGCUGGCGGCGUGCUUAACACAUGCAAGUCGAACGGAAAGGCCCUGCUUUUGUGGGGUGCUCGAGUGGCGAACGGGUGAGUAACACGUGAGUAACCUGCCCUUGACUUUGGGAUAACUUCAGGAAACUGGGGCUAAUACCGGAUAGGAGCUCCUGCUGCAUGGUGGGGGUUGGAAAGUUUCGGCGGUUGGGGAUGGACUCGCGGCUUAUCAGCUUGUUGGUGGGGUAGUGGCUUACCAAGGCUUUGACGGGUAGCCGGCCUGAGAGGGUGACCGGCCACAUUGGGACUGAGAUACGGCCCAGACUCCUACGGGAGGCAGCAGUGGGGAAUAUUGCACAAUGGGCGGAAGCCUGAUGCAGCAACGCCGCGUGCGGGAUGACGGCCUUCGGGUUGUAAACCGCUUUCGCCUGUGACGAAGCGUGAGUGACGGUAAUGGGUAAAGAAGCACCGGCUAACUACGUGCCAGCAGCCGCGGUGAUACGUAGGGUGCGAGCGUUGUCCGGAUUUAUUGGGCGUAAAGGGCUCGUAGGUGGUUGAUCGCGUCGGAAGUGUAAUCUUGGGGCUUAACCCUGAGCGUGCUUUCGAUACGGGUUGACUUGAGGAAGGUAGGGGAGAAUGGAAUUCCUGGUGGAGCGGUGGAAUGCGCAGAUAUCAGGAGGAACACCAGUGGCGAAGGCGGUUCUCUGGGCCUUUCCUGACGUUGAGGAGCGAAAGCGUGGGGAGCGAACAGGCUUAGAUACCCUGGUAGUCCACGCUGUAAACGGUGGGUACUAGGUGUGGGGUCCAUUCCACGGGUUCCGUGCCGUAGCUAACGCUUUAAGUACCCCGCCUGGGGAGUACGGCCGCAAGGCUAAAACUCAAAGGAAUUGACGGGGCCCCGCACAAGCGGCGGAGCAUGCGGAUUAAUUCGAUGCAACGCGUAGAACCUUACCUGGGUUUGACAUGGAUCGGGAGUGCUCAGAGAUGGGUGUGCCUCUUUUGGGGUCGGUUCACAGGUGGUGCAUGGCUGUCGUCAGCUCGUGUCGUGAGAUGUUGGGUUAAGUCCCGCAACGAGCGCAACCCUUGUUCACUGUUGCCAGCACGUUAUGGUGGGGACUCAGUGGAGACCGCCGGGGUCAACUCGGAGGAAGGUGGGGAUGACGUCAAGUCAUCAUGCCCCUUAUGUCCAGGGCUUCACGCAUGCUACAAUGGCUGGUACAGAGAGUGGCGAGCCUGUGAGGGUGAGCGAAUCUCGGAAAGCCGGUCUCAGUUCGGAUUGGGGUCUGCAACUCGACCUCAUGAAGUCGGAGUCGCUAGUAAUCGCAGAUCAGCAACGCUGCGGUGAAUACGUUCCCGGG
rnacentral:rRNA from 1 species